rnacentral:rRNA from 1 species
UUCGGUGGUUAUAGCGAGUAGGGUACACCUGUUCCCAUUUCGAACACAGAAGUUAAGCUACUCAGCGCCGAUGGUACUGCACUGGCAACGGUGUGGGAGAGUAGGACGCCGCCGAAU